AUAUCUUGUUACGAUUUGAGAAACCGCCGCAAAUGAUUCUGUGCGUGAGUGAACUGUCCGAAUGAAUCAAACUGAAUCGCGAACCAUAUUCAGACCGGACACAAAACACACGGACAGGGAAAGUGAUUCACAGAGCCGCAAAGACAAGGCACCAUGACCUGCGCUUCUGGCUACAUCUCUCCUGUAUGCUAAACCACAGAGCAGUGCCAAGGGCAGCCGAGCACAUCUUCAACAGGACAUGUUCUCAUUUACACCCGACAGAAACACGAUGCCUAUCUACAGUCACAUUUCAUGCCAGCCUCUAGAUGGCAGUGUUACAUUUCAGGAUGACACACCAAUACGGAUUUGGGUUGCUAACGGAUCUAAUGAACCCCGUCUUUGCUGUAGGGAAGGGAAGGGACUGACGAAUCGACCAGGUUUGGGGCUGUGAGGAUGAGGUGAGAUUCUGUGACCUGCAAACUCACACAGAGCGUUAAUGACAGAUGAGCUUCAUCGACUCACAGCUGAAAAGUUUACGGAUGUUCUUGGAAAAUCCGGUGUGGAGGAUUUACAGUCUUUGAUGAACUGGUUUGUACAGGAUUUUCAGUCAAAUAUGCUGACAGAGGUGAAGUUUAUACAGGGCUUCAAAUUGUGAAGAAGUUGAGAUUACAGAGCUUUCCAUGUGUGAGGGAUACGUGUCCAUCUGGAGCCAGAAGGGGACAAUACUUGUCCUGAAGGCUGAAAGCAUAAGUAGACCGGACCAGAUUUCAUCAUUUCCACUUGAAAUGUUGUUCAGUGUUGAGUUAAUUUUACAUAUUACAUAUUCAGUGCUGGGUAGAUUACUUACAAAUUGCAGUCUGUUACUGUUUUCAAAUUACAUGCUGAAAAUUGUUUUCAGUAAUGUAAUCAAGAUUUACUUACUCAGUUUAGGUCAUGUAUUCUGACUACUUUUGGAUUACUGUUAGAUUACUUUUGACAUAACUUGUUUAUAAAUUUUAAUGGGGUUAUUGUUAUUUUUAAAAAGAGAAUAAAAUAUAUGACCAUUAAUCAACAUCAGAGAACACACAAAUAUGUUGUAAAAUUAUUGAAAUAUUAACCUUAUAAACUUUAAGUACACAUUUUUAGGUCAAGGGAGUUUGACUGACAAAAAAGUUUGGGAAUCCCUGCAUCAUGGAAAAAGGAAUUGUAAAUUAUGAAUAAUUUACUGUCAUUGUGUGAAUAAUUUGUAAUCAUGUGUAAUCCAUAAAAAAAGUAACUGUAAUUUGAUUAUGAGCAUUUUAAAAUAUAAUAUAAUUAUAAGUACUUAAUUUCUGGAAUCUGAUUACGUUAUCUAGAUUACAUGUAAUUGGUUGCUUCCCAGCUCUGCACAUAUCAUAUUAUUAAAGCAUCAAAAACAAACCAACAAAGCAUCCAAAGCCUCUUUGUAAGCUCAGAGUUAAGGGUUCCCCUGAGCCCUUAGGAUAUUGUCCGGUUCUUUUGCAUCACCACCGAUGUGAUUCAUGAUCUAACAGAGUUACUUAAUUAAGAAGCCCAUAAUCCACAGCGUCUAAAGCUCUCUGUGUUCAACACAACUCCAGCCUGGAGGGAAACAAGGUGUUGGGAGUUUAAGACGGAGUGUAAUCCCAGAGAUGGAGGGAAUGAUGGAUCGCAGGAUCAGCGUGUGACUCCCAGAGUAAUCAGUCCAGGCCGCUGGUCUUCGCUCUCCUCCAAAGCCCCACACCAAUCUCUCAAUCACUCCUUUGUCUCACUCCCACUCGCACUGGCUUUCCAUCUCUCAUGCGCCUGUGAAUUUAGUGUUUGGCUUGUGUUUGGUUUGUGUUUUCAUGCAAAACCGGACAAAACCCUCAGGACAUCCAAUAGGUGAUUUUUUCUUCUUCAGUAGAACAGUGAAGGUGAUUUUAGCUGAAAUCGUGGUUCCUGGUGAUUCAUAAAAUGUAAGUCAAU